rnacentral:rRNA from 1 species
UACGUAGGCAGCGAGCGUUGUUCGGAAUUACUGGGCGUAAAGAGCGUGUAGGCGGCUCGGUAAGUCCGCUGUGAAAGUCCAGGGCUCAACCCUGGAAUGCCGGUGGAAACUGUCGAGCUAGAAUCCGGAAGAGGCGAGUGGAAUUCCUGGUGUAGCGGUGAAAUGCGCAGAUAUCAGGAGGAACACCAAUGGCGAAGGCAGCUCGCUGGGACGGUAUUGACGCUGAGACGCGAAAGCGUGGGGAGCAAACAGG